CAGGCCUUUGCAGUGAGAUCUGAAAUGCCUCAGAACAGUAUGGGGAUCAAGAUGGAAUCACAGACUCAAGUCUUCAUAUUUGUGUUGCUCUGGUUGUCUGGUGUUGAUGGAGACAUUGUGAUGACCCAGUCUCACAAAUCCAUGUCCACAUCAGUAGGAGACAGGGUCACCAUCAGCUGUAAGGCCAGUCAGAAUGUGGGUAUUGCUGUGAACUGGUACCAACAGAAAACAGGCCAAUCUCCUAAACUGCUGAUCUACGCAGCAUCCUACCAAUUUACUGGGUUCCCUGAUCACUUCACAGGCAGUGGAACUGGAACAGAUUUUACUCUCACCAUCAGCAGUGUGCAGGCUGAAGACUUGGCAGUUUAUUACUGUCUGUAUAGUAGCUCUCCUCCCACAGUGCUUCAUCCUCCUACACAACCUCCUCUGAGAUUCUAA